UACGGAGGGUGCGAGCGUUGUUCGGAAUCACUGGGCGUAAAGCGCGUGUAGGCGGCCCACUACGUCUGAUGUGAAAGCCCGGGGCUCACCCCCGGAAGUGCAUUGGAAACUGGUGGACUCGAGUCCCGGAGAGGAGAGUGGAAUUCCUGGUGUAGCGGUGAAAUGCGUAGAUAUCAGGAGGAACACCGGUGGCGAAGGCGGCUCUCUGGACGGUGACUGAUGCUGAGACGCGAAAGCGUGGGGAGCAAACAGG
rnacentral:rRNA from 1 species